CCUAAUGGUGCAACGCCGCGUGGAGGAUGACGGUCUUCGGAUUGUAAACUCCUGUCAUCUGGGAGUAAGGCAUGGUUGUGAAUAGCAAAUAUGAUUGAUAGUACCAGAAGAGGAAGGGACGGCUAUCUUCGUGCCAGCAGCCGAGGUAAUACGAAGGUCCCAAGCGUUGUUCGGAUUCACUGAGCGUAAAGGGAGCGUAGGCGGCGUGGUAAGUCAGAUGUGAAAUCCCGGGGCUCAACCCCGGAACUGCAUCCGAUACUGCCAUGCUAGAGGAUUGGAGAGGUAGCUGGAAUUAUUGGUGUAGCAGUGAAAUGCGUAGAGAUCAAUAGGAACACUCGUGGCGAAAGCGAGCUACUGGACAAUUCCUGACGCUGAGGCUCGAAGGCUAGGGUAGCGAAAGGGAUUAGAUACCCCUGUAGUCCUAGCAUUAAACGGUGCACGCUUGGUGUGAGGGGAAUCGACCCCCCUUGUGCCGGAGCUAACGCGUUAAGCGUGCCGCCUGGGAAGUACGGUCGCAAGACUAAAACUCAAAGAAAUUGACGGGGACCCGCACAAGCGGUGGU
rnacentral:rRNA from 1 species